rnacentral:rRNA from 1 species
ACAAUGGAGAGUUUGAUCCUGGCUCAGGAUGAACGCUAGCGGCAGGCCUAAUACAUGCAAGUCGAACGAUAGUUGGGGCUUGCCCCAACGAAAAGUGGCGCACGGGUGCGUAACGCGUAUGCAACCUACCUUCAUCUGGGGGAUAGCCCGGAGAAAUCCGGAUUAAUACCGCAUAAAAUCACAGRAYGGCAUURUYCAAUGAUCAAACAUUUAUGGGAUGGAGAUGGGCAUGCGUGUCAUUAGCUAGUUGGCGGGGUAACGGCCCACCAAGGCGACGAUGACUAGGGGAUCUGAGAGGAUGGCCCCCCACACUGGUACUGAGACACGGACCAGACUCCUACGGGAGGCAGCAGUAAGGAAUAUUGGUCAAUGGGGGCAACCCUGAACCAGCCAUGCCGCGUGCAGGAAGACAGCCCUAUGGGUCGUAAACUGCUUUUACCCGGGAAUAAACCCCACUACGUGUAGUGGGCUGAACGUACCGGGGGAAUAAGGAUC